UAUUCACUUUGUUUUCCUUAAUCCAAACACGUCCUAGCUAGAUCGUAAUAGAUAAACUCAAAAAGUGGAGUUUUAGUUGUUUUUUUGUCAUUGUGGAGAUAAUUUGAUGGAUAUUUUUUAUAAGUUGCAUUUAGAUUAAGAAUUUAGUAAGAGAAAAAAAUAAAAAGAAUUAAUAAUCAAAUAAUACCGAACGUUUGGAUUAUUUAAUUUUUUUUAUUUUUAUUUUUUUUCUUCACUAAAUUCAAAAUUCAAAUACAUCCAUAGAGUUUUAUCAGAUUCAUUUCAUUUUGUAUCUCCUCAGCAAUCAGCAUUCUUUUCUUUAUGAUUGCAUCUUUUUAGAUAACAGAGCAUGUGCCUAAAGCUGAAACAAGAAGGAAAAAGAAAGCAAACAAGGUGCCCAACUGCCCAUGGUUUGCCUCCAAGCUCAACUUGAAAGUGAAGGAACAAAAAAUUUUGCCUACCUAAUAAGGCCCCGUUUGGGCUAGGUUUUAUUGAUGUUUUUUUACUAAAAAAAUUAUUUUGUGUGUGUGCGCUUGUGAUGAAUUUAUUUAGUAUGAGUUUAUUAGGUAAAAUAUUUCAGUGUCUUUAAUUACUCCAAAAAACACAAGUGUUUUAGCCCCCAAACGAGGCCUAAAUAAUCUCAAAGAGAAUAUUCACACGUUGCUUUUUUGGAAUGCUUAACAUUGAUAUCAUGUUGCUCUUGACAUGAUAUAAUAAAUAAAUAACUAAAUAAAUAAUAAUAUAAUAAAUAAAUAUAUUAAACUAUUUCUCUAAUUUGCUAAUUUAUUUUCUUAUGAGAGGGUGUUUGAUUCGGGUAAAUAUGAUGAUGGGACUUGAAAGCAAUAGAAAGUGAAAUGAAAGAAAAAGAAAGUCUUGGAUGCUUUUGGUUAAUGAUGAAAGUUACGUAAGAAAAUUAUAAUUAAAUGAUCUCUACAGAUUGUAACGUACAAGAAAUCAGGGGAAAAACAGGGUUAAUUGCACUUUGCCUCCUUAAAGUAAUGAGCGAUUCCCAUUUUGGGUCGUACAAAAAUUUUACUCCGUAAUUUCUUGUAUUUUCUCCUAUAGUCAUGCUAAAUAAUAAGAAAAUAUUUUCUUGUUUCUUUAUUUUUCAUUAUUUUCAUUCUAACUAAACGUAAAUAAAGUAAAAAAAAACCUUUCAUAAAUUAAUGAUUGACAUAAACGCUUCAUUUUAUUUUGAAUAUUCUCAAUUGAAGGCAAACAACUAUGGACCAUCUAAAAUAUGACAUUUUAUACAGUGGCGGACGCAGAAAUUACGUUUAGGGGGGCUAAAUUAUAUAUUUUCAAUGGACAAAAGUCUGAGGGAGUCAGUUAUGUAUACUUUAAUAGACCAAUAGCAAAAUAAUCAAAACUAAUAGAGAUUUUUCAAAUGUUUGCCACUGGCAUUAACCACGCUAUCUAAAGGGUCUUGCGUGACGCGUAUUUGGAUCAUAUCAAAUAUAGUAGCCAAAUAUCACCACAUACUAUUAUUGCAGUUUCUUGAACCAUAUUGAUUUAGUUUCUAAAAAGACCAAACAAGAAUCUCAUUUUUCUCUUAUUAAAGGUGAUCACUUUAUUCAUUAAAAUGAAAUACAUAAUUGAAAAACUCGACUUUAAUACUUAAAAGAUACCACUUCAGCAUGAUGACUUGGUAUCAAUACGCAAAACUUUCUUCUAUCGUAGGUAUGUCUUUUGUGUGACUAAACAAGAACAUGUGUAUUCAACAAAUACAGGACAAUGAAAUGCCAGGUCCAAUCUGCCACGCUAAUUAAUAAUGGUAAAUUACAUAUCAUAUCCUUGUACUUUAAUUGAUAUUGCACAUUGUACCCUUCAAUUUUGAUUGUAACAGUCAACACUUUAUACUUUAGAUCAAUUGUCAACAUAUUUUUAUGUUACAAAAAGUGGCAAAAAAAGGACAUGUGGACUGAAGGGUCACGUUGACACUUGACCUAAAGAGUAAGUGAAGGGUGAAAGGUGAAAUUUUAGUAAAAUUUUAGGAGUGAGAAAAGACUAAUUUUUCCAAAAUUUAAAAUCCGUGGUGCGUGUGAAUAUGUCCACCGUCGUGGUGGUGCCCUACAUGAAUGUGUCCACCAUCGUGGUGGUGCCCCGUGUGAAUGUGUUCACCGUCGUGGUGAUGCCCCACAUGAAUGUGUCCACCAUCGUGGUGGUGCCCCAUGUGACUGUGUCCACCGUCGUGACCAUGGUUGUGGUGCCCCGUAUGCCCGUGAUGUGUAUGAUCUUGUCCACCGUGGUGUCCACAUUCAUGGUGUUGGUUGUCACCUCCGUCGUCACCUCCACCGCCACCAUCGUCGGCAUCACCUCCAUCAGCGCCUUUGUCGCCACCACCGUCACGGUGAUGGUGCUCACCUGGAUCAUCAUCAUCACAACAGGCUAGAACCACCAUAGAUAUGAUGGACAGUGACACCACAAUACCACACACCAACAUCAACAAACCACUAGAGAUUGGUAAAACACCGCCAUAAUCGCUUAUGGGAUUCAAGAU
rnacentral:lncRNA from 1 species